rnacentral:rRNA from 1 species
UAAAACGUAGGAGGCAAGCGUUAUCCGGAGUUACUGGGCGUAAAGCGCAUGUAGGCGGUUUUUCAAGUGGCGUGUGAAAGCUCCCGGCUAAACUGGGAGAGGACACGUCAGACUGAGAGGCUAGAGGACGUUAGAGGGGCGCAGAAUUCGGGGUGUAGCGGUGAAAUGUGUAGAGAUCCCGAGGAAUACCAGUGGUGAAGACGGCGCCCUGGGACGUUACUGACGCUGAGAUGCGAAAGCGUGGGGAGCGAACGGGAUUAGAGACCCCGGUAGUCCACGCCGUAAACGAUGUGAACUAGGUGCCCACUUCCUUCGGGAAGGGGGUGCCGAAGCUAACGCGCUAAGUUCACCGCCUGGGGAGUACGGUCGCAAGGCUA